CAUUUGUACUACUUUUCCCAGAAAACAGAACAACCUAGCUGUAACUAUAAAUCUUCCCUACUUGCCAUGCAUUUACACAAAAAAACUAGUUUGCACCUUAAAAAAUGUUGUAAAUCUGGCAACUACAUCUAUUAAAACCUGACAAUCCAGGUAUUGUAUAUCGGACAACUACAUCUCACUUAAAACCUGGCCACUACACCUGCUUAAACAUGGCAACCAUGUGUGAUACAUCUAAACAACUAUGCCUCAUUAAAACAGAACAACCAUCUGUUUAUGAAAAUGUCAAUCAC
rnacentral:lncRNA from 1 species